GACGAACGCUGGCGGCGUGCUUAACACAUGCAAGUCGAACGGUAAGGCCCUUCGGGUACGACGAGUGGCGAACGGGUGAGUAACACGUGGUGAUCUGCCCUGCACUUCGGGAUAAGCCUGGGAAACUGGGUCUAAUACCGGAUAGGACCAUGGACUUCACGGUUUGUGGUGGAAAGCUUUUGCGGUGUGGGAUGGGCCCGCGGCCUAUCAGCUUGUUGGUGGGGUAAUGGCCUACCAAGGCGACGACGGGUAGCCGGCCUGAGAGGGUGUCCGGCCACACUGGGACUGAGAUACGGCCCAGACUCCUACGGGAGGCAGCAGUGGGGAAUAUUGCACAAUGGGCGCAAGCCUGAUGCAGCGACGCCGCGUGAGGGAUGACGGCC
rnacentral:rRNA from 1 species